GAUGAACGCUGGCGGCGUGCCUAAUACAUGCAAGUCGAACGGGAGACCUGGUUUCGACCGGGUUGAGAGUGGCGCACGGGUGAGGAACACAUGGCUGACCUGCCCUUCAGAGGGGGAUAACGGCUGGAAACGGCUGCUAAUACCCCAUACGCUCCUUGGGAUUAGAGGCCUGAGGAGGAAAGCCUUCGGGUGCUGAAGGAGGGGGCUGUGGCCCAUCAGCUUGUUGGUAGGGUAACGGCCUACCAAGGCGACGACGGGUAGGGGGCCUGAGAGGGUGACCCCCCACACUGGGACUGAGACACGGCCCAGACUCCUACGGGAGGCAGCAGUAAGGGAUCUUGCGACAAUGGGCGAAAGCCUGACGCAGCAACGCCGCGUGCGGGAGGACGGCCUUCGGGUUGUAAACCGCUUUUCGGGGGGAAGAGGAAGGACGGUACCCCCGGAAGAAGUCUCGGCUAACUACGUGCCAGCAGCCGCGGUAAAACGUAGGAGGCGAGCGUUAUCCGGAUUUACUGGGUGUAAAGCGCGUGUAGGCGGUCCUGCAAGUGGUGCGUGAAAGCGCCCGGCUCAACCGGGCGAGGACGUGGGCGAACUGCAGGGCUAGAGGCAGGUAGAGGCGUGUGGAAUUCCGGGUGUAGUGGUGAAAUGCGUAGAGAUCCGGAGGAACACCAGUGGCGAAGGCGACACGCUGGGCCUGGCCUGACGCUGAGAGGCGAAAGCAUGGGGAGCGAACGGGAUUAGAAACCCCGGUAGUCCAUGCCGUAAACGAUGCUGACUAGGUGUGGCGGGUAUGAACUCCUGCCGUGCCGGAGCCAACGUGGUAAGUCAGCCACCUGGGGACUACGGCCGCAAGGUUA
rnacentral:rRNA from 1 species